UACGUAGGGGGCAAGCGUUGUCCGGAUUUAUUGGGCGUAAAGAGCGUGUAGGCGGUCCGGUAAGUCAGCUGUGAAAGUCAAGGGCUCAACCCUUGAAAGCCGGUUGAUACUGUCGGGCUAGAGUCCGGAAGAGGCGAGUGGAAUUCCCGGUGUAGCGGUGAAAUGCGCAGAUAUCGGGAGGAACACCAAUGGCGAAGGCAGCUCGCUGGGACGGUACUGACGCUGAGACGCGAAAGCGUGGGGAGCAAACAGGG
rnacentral:rRNA from 1 species